rnacentral:tRNA from 2 species
UCCUGGUUAGCUCAGUUGGUAGAGCGCCCUACUGGAAACGUAGAGGUCCUGGUUCAGCACCAGGACCAGGAU